rnacentral:tRNA from 4 species
GCGGGUGUAGUUCAGUGGUAGAACACGGGCUUCCCAAGCCUGUAGCGAGGGUUCGAUUCCCUUCACCCGCU